CAGUGGCGAACGGGUGCGUAACACGUGGGCAAUCUGCCUUAAAGUGUGGGACAGCUCGGCGAAAGCCGGAUUAAUACCGCAUGUGGCUACUGGAGACAUCUUCGGGACGCUAAAGGUGGCGCAAGCUACCGCUUUUUGAGGAGCCCGCGGCCUAUCAGCUUGUUGGUGAGGUAACGGCUCACCAAGGCGUUGACGGGUAGCUUCUGAGAGGACAACCAGUCACACUGGGACUGAGACACGGCCCAGACACCUACGGGUGGCAGCAGUCGAGAAUUUUUGACAAUGGGGGAAACCCUGAUCGAGCGACGCCGCGUGGAGGAUGAAGGUCUUCGGGUUGUAAACUCCUGUCAUUUGGGAACAAGUCGCGUGUAUUAACUGUACAUGCGUUGAUAGUACCAGAAGAGGAAGGGACGGCUAACUCUGUGCCAGCAGCCGCGGUAAUACAGAGGUCUCAAGCGUUGUUCGGAUUCAUUGGGCGUAAAGGGUGUGUAGGUGGCGCGCUAAGUCGGGUGUGAAAUUUCGGAGCUUAACUCCGAAACUGCAUUCGAUACUGGCGUGCUUGAGGACUGGAGAGGAGACUGGAAUUUACGGUGUAGCAGUGAAAUGCGUAGAUAUCGUAAGGAAGACCAGUGGCGAAGGCGGGUCUCUGGACAGUUCCUGACACUGAGACACGAAGGCCAGGGGAGCAAACGGGAUUAGAUACCCCGGUAGUCCUGGCAGUAAACGGUGCACGUUUGGUGUGGGAGGAUUCGACCCCUUCUGCGCCGGAGCUAACGCGUUAAACGUGCCGCCUGGGGAGUACGGUCGCAAGAUUAAAACUCAAAGAAAUUGACGGGGGCCCGCACAAGCGGUGGAGUAUGUGGCUCAAUUCGAUGCAACGCGAAGAACCUUACCAGGCCUUGACAUGCAUCUCUAAGUUGGUGAAAGCCAGCGAGUGACGAAAGACACAAUUUGCACAGGUGCUGCAUGGCUGUCGUCAGCUCGUGUCGUGAGAUGUUGGGUUAAGUCCCGCAACGAGCGCAACCCCUGUGAACUGUUGCCACCGGAGCGAGAGCUCCGAGCACUCUGUUCAGACUGCCUCGCUUAAACGAGGAGGAAGGUGGGGACGACGUCAAGUCAGUAUGGCCCUUACGGCCUGGGCUGCACAUGUACUACAAUGCCCAGUACAGAACGAUCCGAGACCGCGAGGUGGAGGAAAUCUAUUGAAAACUGGGCCCAGU
rnacentral:rRNA from 1 species